CACCCCUUCCCAGAUUUCAUUUAAGGCUUGGCAGUGGAGGUGAGGGGGUCUGGCUGGAGCUUCCUGUGUAUCUAAGGCCUUCCAAAGUCACAUCUUUUGAAAUACGUGGUCUUAGUAACAUCCUUUUGAAAUGGAGUCUCAAAGCUGACAAGCAGUGAUUUAUCACAGAACUGAAAGAGGACAUACAGGUGGAUUGUGUGUGCUUCUGACAUCUGAAAAUUUCCACAGUCACCUUCACAAAUAGGAUCUGAAGACUUCAGAAGUCCAGCACUUAAACUCUUUCUGUGGUGAACAGAUUGAGACAUCUGACCUGGAGCUGUCAGAGCAGCGCUUUGAGCCUGACCUGAAUUUGUCACCAUGCUGAGCAAGCACCUACCCAUGA